GAUGAACGCUAGCGGCAGGCUUAACACAUGCAAGUCGAGGGGCAGCGCGGGAUAGCAAUAUCCUGGCGGCGACCGGCGGAAGGGUGCGUAACGCGUGAGCGACAUGCCCGUUGCCCGGGGACAACCGGUGGAAACGCCGACUAAUCCCCGAUGGGAUACGAUGCUUCAUGGCAUUGUAUUGAAAGUUACGGCGGCGACGGAUUGGCUCGCGUCCGAUUAGCUGGUUGGCGGGGUAACGGCCCACCAAGGCUGCGAUCGGUAGGGGUUCUGAGAGGAAGGCCCCCCACAAUGGGACUGAGACACGGCCCAUACUCCUACGGGAGGCAGCAGUGAGGAAUAGGGGUCAAUGGGCGGAAGCCUGAACCAGCCAUGCCGCGUGCGGGAAGGAGGCCCUAUGGGCUGUGAACCGCUUUUGCAUGGGGGAAAUAAGGGCGUCGCGCACGUCCGAUGAGAGUACCAGGCGAAUAAGCAUCGGCUAACUCCGUG
rnacentral:rRNA from 1 species